rnacentral:rRNA from 1 species
GGACUACGGGGGUAUCUAAUCCGGUUCGCUGCCCCAGCUUUCGUCCCUGACCGUCAGGCGUGUUCUAGUGAGCAGCCUUCGCCACUGGUGGUCCUCCUGGGAUCAAAGGAUUUCGCCCCUACCCCAGAAAUACCGCUCACCUAUCCCACCCUCUAGCUGUAUGGUAUCAUCCGCAGUCCAACGUUUAGGACGCUGGAUUUAACGGAGGACGGAUACAGCCAGCUACGGACGCUUUAGACCAAAUAAUAGUCCCCACCACUCGAGGGGCUGGUGUUACCGCGGCGGCUGACACCAGUCUUGCCCCCCUCUUAUUCCCACAGGAUAUUACUCUAUGGAAAAGCAGCCCUUAUCGGACUGCACUCGAGAUAACCCCAUCGUACUGGCGUACAUUGUGGAGUUUUCGCGCCUGCUGCCCCCCAUAGG